rnacentral:rRNA from 1 species
CGACGACCGCCUGGCGGCGUGCUUAACACAUGCAAGUCCGAACGGAAAGGCCCUUUUCGGGGGUGCUCGAGUGGCGAACGGGUGAGUAACACGUGGGUGAUCUGCCCUGCACUUUGGGAUAAGCCUGGGAAACUGGGUCUAAUACCGGAUAGGACUACGCGAUGCAUGUCGUGUGGUGGAAAGCUUUUGCGGUGUGGGAUGGGCCCGCGGCCUAUCAGCUUGUUGGUGGGGUGAUGGCCUACCAAGGCGACGACGGGUAGCCGGCCUGAGAGGGUGUCCGGCCACACUGGGACUGAGAUACGGCCCAGACUCCUACGGGAGGCAGCAGUGGGGAAUAUUGCACAAUGGGCGCAAGCCUGAUGCAGCGACGCCGCGUGAGGGAUGACGGCCUUCGGGUUGUAAACCUCUUUCAACAGGGACGAAGCGCGAGUGACGGUACCUGUAGAAGAAGCACCGGCCAACUACGUGCCAGCAGCCGCGGUAAUACGUAGGGUGCGAGCGUUGUCCGGAAUUACUGGGCGUAAAGAGCUCGUAGGUGGUUUGUCGCGUUGUUCGUGAAAACUCACAGCUUAACUGUGGGCGUGCGGGCGAUACGGGCAGACUGGAGUACUGCAGGGGAGACUGGAAUUCCUGGUGUAGCGGUGGAAUGCGCAGAUAUCAGGAGGAACACCGGUGGCGAAGGCGGGUCUCUGGGCAGUAACUGACGCUGAGGAGCGAAAGCGUGGGGAGCGAACAGGAUUAGAUACCCUGGUAGUCCACGCCGUAAACGGUGGGUACUAGGUGGGUGGGUUUCCCUUCCUUGGGAUCCGUGCCGUAGCUAACGCAUUAAGUACCCCGCCUGGGGAGUACGGCCGCAAGGCUAAAACUCAAAGGAAUUGACGGGGGCCCGCACAAGCGGCGGAGCAUGUGGAUUAAUUCGAUGCAACGCGAAGAACCUUACCUGGGUUUGACAUGCACAGGACGUGCCUAGAGAUAGGUAUUCCCUUGUGGUCUGUGUGCAGGUGGUGCAUGGCUGUCGUCAGCUCGUGUCGUGAGAUGUUUGGGUUAAGUCCCGCAACGAGCGCAACCCUUGUCCUAUGUUGCCAGCGGGUUAUGCCGGGGACUCGUAGGAGACUGCCGGGGUCAACUCGGAGGAAAGGUGGGGAUGACGGUCAAGUCAUCAUGCCCCUUAUGUCCAGGGCUUCACACAUGCUACAAUGGCCGGUACAAAGGGCUGCGAUGCCGUGAGGUGGAGCGAAUCCUUUCAAAGCCGGUCUCAGUUCGGAUCGGGGUCUGCAACUCGACCCCGUGAAGUCGGAGUCGCUAGUAAUCGCAGAUCAGCAACGCUGCGGUGAAUACGUUCCCGGGCCUUGUACACACCGCCCGUCACGUCAUGAAAGUCGGUAACACCCGAAGCCAGUGGCCUAACCCCUUGUGGGAGGGAGCUGUCGAAGGUGGGAUCGGCGAUUGGGAUCGGU